GACGAACGCUGGCGGCGUGCUUAACACAUGCAAGUCGAACGGAAAGUCCCUGCUUUUGUGGGGUGCUCGAGUGGCGAACGGGUGAGUAACACGUGAGUAACCUGCCCUUGACUUUGGGAUAACUUCAGGAAACUGGGGCUAAUACCGGAUAGGAGCUCCUGCUGCAUGGUGGGGGUUGGAAAGUUCCGGCGGUUGGGGAUGGACUCGCGGCUUAUCAGCUUGUUGGUGGGGUAGUGGCUUACCAAGGCUUUGACGGGUAGCCGGCCUGAGAGGGUGACCGGCCACAUUGGGACUGAGAUACGGCCCAGACUCCUACGGGAGGCAGCAGUGGGGAAUAUUGCACAAUGGGCGGAAGCCUGAUGCAGCAACGCCGCGUGCGGGAUGACGGCCUUCGGGUUGUAAACCGCUUUCGCCUGUGACGAAGCGUGAGUGACGGUAAUGGGUAAAGAAGCACCGGCUAACUACGUG
rnacentral:rRNA from 1 species